rnacentral:rRNA from 1 species
AUGCCGACCCAUUGCUGCUGGCGCUCGAGGGUGGGGCUGCUAGGACAGUGCAUGCGUUCCCCGCUGACGAGUCGCUGUGGCCCUACGUCGACCAGCCGCCCCCUGCCUGGCCAGGGCUCACGGAGUGUGAGCUGGGCCUCCAGGCCACCUGGAGCCCUGGGAAGGCCUCGCCCCCACCUGCCGUGGCUGGGCCGCUUGCCCCCUGGCCCAACCUGGGGUACAUGGACCUGCCCCCCCUCCCCCUUGAUCGAGGAGGUGAUUACCCGCAAGCCUGAAGACCGCGUUUGCCUGGAUGACGUGGCAGACCACCUUGCCAGCCGCCUCCAGGGGCUCGAGGUGGACUGCAACGCCAACGGUGCUUCUGCGCUCCUCAGCAAGGUCUUCCUUCCGCCGUCGGCCUCACUGGUGGCGGCGCGCUGCUGUGCUCCUCAGCAAGGUCUUCCUUCCGCCGUCGGCCUCGCUGCUCGGCCCGCCGCCACCGGCCAUCAAGAUGGGCGCUGUCUCCCCCCUGUUGCCCAGGUCGUCGUCCCCAACCCGGUCUCGGCCCCCUCGCUUCAGCGUCGGGCGAGCGCGCGGAUCGCCAAGGGUGCGAUGGGCCUCACUCAGCAGCAGAAGGCACAGGCCAGGCUCGCGCAACAGUUGGAGUUCAUCUCCGGCCCAGAGCAUUUCACGCCGGAGAUCAGGGAGCGCUACACCAACAGGUUCAAGACGCCGCUCGGGAAGCUCACUGCUAAGAUCGCCAGGGCGGCAGGCGUGCACUCCAUGGCCCGCAUCAACCUCCCGGACAAGGACCUCGCGGUGCUGGCCGGCGAGGAGGCCGAUCUGCCCGCCUGA